rnacentral:rRNA from 1 species
UACGUAGGGUCCGAGCGUUGUCCGGAAUUAUUGGGCGUAAAGAGCUCGUAGGCGGUUUGUCGCGUCUGCUGUGAAAUCCCGAGGCUCAACCUCGGGCCUGCAGUGGGUACGGGCAGACUUGAGUGGUGUAGGGGAGACUGGAAUUCCCGGUGUAGCGGUGAAAUGCGCAGAUAUCGGGAGGAACACCAGCGGCGAAGGCGGCACUCUGGGCUGGAACUGACGCUGAGGAGCGAAAGCGUGGGUAGCAAACAGG